UGCAGGGCAGCUUCCUCUUUUUCUGUUCUCACUCAGCCCUCUGGGGAGCCAAAGAAGGGAAAGAGGUCUUUCUCGGCCGCUGGUUCCAAGAAGUGGUUUUGCUGUUGUGACAUUAAAACUGACUGCGAUGUCAGCUGCAAACUCACCUUGUCCUGGACAGACCCACCCUGACCUCAUGCAGGGUUCCCAUCGCUGCAGACACUACCUUCCUUAAACUCCAAAAGCAAAAAGCUCAGGGGUCAUGGAACAACUGCCGUGUCUUUAAUUCAUCCAUGCUUUUUGACAAUGUUGGCUGCCAGCAAUCUCUUGACUCUUCCUCGACGCCACCACCAUCACCACCACCCCUAUCCACUACCACACUCUGGCUUGAGCUUUACUUUAUAUUGUACGCAAGCUCUGCAGCGGCCCCAGGCCUAGCUUCCCAAGUCCACCUCGGUCCCUAUCUCAAACCCAUCCUUUUCACUGUAUGGAGAAGACGGACAAGGAAACAAACAGUGGCCGCUGCCCCUGCUGCAGACGCUUCCUCUGAUCUGGAGACAGACCUUGAGCCCCUUCCACAGCCCACGCAGAUCUGCCUGGGUAACUCAGCCUCCUCUAGCACCAGGCUGUCACUGACCUCCUUGAUCUCAGCAGCACCGAGCCCUCUGUCCCAGGACCUGGGAAGAACUGCUCAGCUCCCAGUUGGUGGUGAACUUCACCUCUCAGGUCCAACGCAACAUUUUCUCAAGGGUCUUGCUGGGUCAAAUUCUGUGCACUUUCUUCCAGCACCUGCCACCUCUGUCUUACAUUGCAAUGUUUGUUACAAUUACUCGAGUUAGUAGUUCACCAAUACUUACUUCCCCUCUCUUUCUAACCCCUGCUCUAGUUCCCAUCUUGCAGAGUAUCAACGAUACUUUACAGUAGAAACCAAAUAAAUACAUCGGUUGGUUGGUUG